rnacentral:rRNA from 1 species
ACGCUCGACACCUACGGGGGCAGCAGUGGGGAAUAUUGCACAAUGGGGGAAACCCUGAUGCAGCGACGCCGCGUGAAGGAAGAAGUAUUUCGGUAUGUAAACUUCUAUCAGCAGGGAAGAAGAUGACGGUACCUGACUAAGAAGCCCCGGCUAACUACGUGCCAGUAGCCGCGGUAAUCGUAGAGCGGGGCUGGGCAAGGGCAG